rnacentral:rRNA from 1 species
UACGUAGGGAGCUAGCGUUGUCCGGAAUCAUUGGGCGUAAAGCGCGCGUAGGCGGCCAGAUAAGUCCGGUGUGAAAGUCACAGGCUCAACCUGUGAAUGCCGCUGGAAACUGUCUGGCUCGAGUCCGGGAGGGGCGAGUGGAAUUCCUGGUGUACGCGGUGAAAUGCGCAGAUAUCAGGAGGAACACCAAUGGCGAAGGCAGCUCGCUGGAACGGUACUGACGCUGAGGCGCGAAAGCGUGGGGAGCGAACAGG